rnacentral:rRNA from 1 species
CAUGAAGCUGGAAUCGCUAGUAAUCGCAGAUCAGAAUGCUGCGGUGAAUACGUUCCCGGGUCUUGUACACACCGCCCGUCACACCAUGGGAGUCGGAAAUGCCCGAAGUCGGUGACCCAACCGUUUACGGAGGGAGCUGCCGAAGGCAGGUCUGGUGACUGGGGUGAAGUCGUAACAAGGUAUC